rnacentral:rRNA from 1 species
UGGGGAAUAUUGGACAAUGGGCGCAAGCCUGAUCCAGCCAUGCCGCGUGAGUGAUGAAGGCCCUAGGGUAGUAAAGCUCUUUCACCGGUGAAGAUAAUGACGGUAACCGGAGAAGAAGCCCCGGCUAACUUCGUGCCAGCAGCCGCGGUAAUACGAAGGGGGCUAGCGUUGUUCGGAUUUACUGGGCGUAAAGCGCACGUAGGCGGACUUUUAAGUCAGGGGUGAAAUCCCGGGGCUCAACCCCGGAACUGCCUUUGAUACUGGAAGUCUUGAGUAUGGUAGAGGUGAGUGGAAUUCCGAGUGUAGAGGUGAAAUUCGUAGAUAUUCGGAGGAACACCAGUGGCGAAGGCGGCUCACUGGACCAUUACUGACGAUGAGGUGCGAAAGCGUGGGGAGCAAACAGG